AGUCCCAGAGGCUGGUUUUAGAACAUAAGAGAUGUCACAUGUUUCAACAGCCAACAGCAAAGUCAUCUUGUAAAGUCAGCUACAAUAAAAUGAUCCAUAAUCCAUUUUAUAUCUGUUACAAUCUGUUAACGGAGACUCAACGAGCGAGAGAAGAAGAGA